rnacentral:rRNA from 1 species
GACGAACGCUGGCGGCGUGCUUAACACAUGCAAGUCGAACGGUAAGGCCCUUCGGGGUACACGAGUGGCGAACGGGUGAGUAACACGUGGGUGAUCUGCCCUGCACUUCGGGAUAAGCCUGGGAAACUGGGUCUAAUACCGGAUAGGACUCCGGACUGCAUGGUCUGGGGUGGAAAGCUUUUGCGGUGUGGGAUGGGCCCGCGGCCUAUCAGCUUGUUGGUGGGGUGAUGGCCUACCAAGGCGACGACGGGUAGCCGGCCUGAGAGGGUGACCGGCCCCACUGGGACUGAGAUACGGCGCAGACUCCUACGGGAGGCAGCAGUGGGGAAUAUUGCACAAUGGGCGCAAGCCUGAUGCAGCGACGCCGCGUGAGGGAUGACGGCCUUCGGGUUGUAAACCUCUUUCAGCAUCGACGAAGCGAAAGUGACGGUAGGUGCAGAAGAAGGACCGGCCAACUACGUGCCAGCAGCCGCCGCAG